AUGCACGAGAGUGCGAUGGGGGGACUCCGAGUGUAAUCUUCCCACAAGGAAGGUUACUUUUCUGCACUGUAAGGAGGUGCCGGAACAAGGGGUGGGCAACACUGCUGCCAGCCGCCGCGGUAAUAGCAGGACCCCAAGUGGUAGUCGUUAUUAUUGGGCUUAAAGUGUUCGUAGCCUGCCAUGCAAGUCCGCUGUGAAAUCCACGCGCUCAACGUGUGGGCGUGCAGCGGAUACUGUAUGGCUAGGGACCGGACGGCGUUGAGGCUAUUCCCGGAGUAGGAGUGAAAUCCUAAAAUUCUGGGAGGAGCACCUGUGGCGAAAGCGCUCAACGAGUACGGAUCCGACGGUGAGGAACGAAAGCCA
rnacentral:rRNA from 1 species